rfam:Rattus norvegicus chromosome 3, whole genome shotgun sequence.
GGGGAUUUAGCUCAGUGGUAGAGCGCUUGCCUAGCAAGCACAAGGCCCUGGGUUCGGUUCCCCAGCUCCG